GACGAACGCUGGCGGCGUGCUCAACACAUGCAAGUCGAACGGAAAGGCCCUGCUUUUGUGGGGUGCUCGAGUGGCGAACGGGUGAGUAACACGUGAGUAACCUGCCCUUGACUUUGGGAUAACUUCAGGAAACUGGGGCUAAUACCGGAUAGGAGCUCCUGCUGCAUGGUGGGGGUUGGAAAGUUUCGGCGGUUGGGGAUGGACUCGCGGCUUAUCAGCUUGUUGGUGGGGUAGUGGCUUACCAAGGCUUUGACGGGUAGCCGGCCUGAGAGGGUGACCGGCCAGAGGGGGACUGUGUUGCGGCCCAGACUCCGGCGGGAGGCAGCAGUGGGGAAGGUUGAACGAUGGGCGGACGCUUGCUGCCGCACCGCCGCGGGCGGGAUGCGGGCCUUCGGGUUGUAGCCCGCUUUCGGCUGGGAAGCUGCGUGAGUGAGGGUAAUGGGUAAAGAAGCCCCGGCUAACUACGUG
rnacentral:rRNA from 1 species